rnacentral:misc_RNA from 1 species
AUUAAAUCUCAUCAUAUAUAUUAUAUGAUGCAUCCAUAAUUACAACCUACUAUCCCAUACAUUCAGACAAAAUCCCCUUCCCCGUUGACAUUGCUCUUUCUCUUUGCAGUGCCAAACACAAAGUCUGAGUUGUAGAGCACAGGGACCAUCGUAACAGAACAUAAGAAAACCAGCACUGGUCCAAAUAUCCACAGCAGAAAAGGCAUAGCAGCAUAGAAGAGCCUGUUGCCCACAGAGUUGAGAAGAAAACCCUUCUCUAAUAGCUCGGUUACAUACUCAGGGGUCACAAUGGACAUGGGAUCAGGUGGGGUGUUGAUGAGUAAGUUGACCUGGUUCACAAACCUAAUGGACAGAGAGUGGCAAAAGAAUGAGAAGAGGAAAAAGCUUAGCAGAGUCACAUAUUUCAAUGCCACCAUGAAUUCACCAUGAGCCCCGUAAACGGCAUCGUUUAGUGGCUUCUUCACAGUAUAAGUGCUGCUUAUAAUGGCAGCCAGCCCAGCAGAGAGAAGGAUUGAUGUGGUGGCCAUUAAGGUGGAUCCCAUUAUCAAGUUUCUAAGAGUUUGAACGGCCAAGAUGUUCUUCUUGUCAUUGUCCUGAACCCAAAAUUACAUUACCCACUUGAGUAUCUGAUACUGGUUUAUACGUAUGCUACUAGAAAAGGCAUGAGAUUUGAGCAAAAGAAGAGUAUUGCUUGCUUGUCAUAUACGUACAACAGGGCAAGACAGGUUGUCGAGAGAUUCGUUUCAAGGCAUCUAUGCCCUUUUUCUCAAUGAAAUUGGCGUCACUGUUCUAAUAGUAAUUAAACAACGCUAGGCAUCUCAAUUAUUGAUGAUGCAAAUGAGUAAAAAGGAGGCAUGAUCCAUCGUGGUCAUGGCCAUAUCAUAAAACCAUAAAGGGAAAAAGUUACCAUCUUUUCUUCUUCAAGAUUGGCAAUGAAAGUGAAGUGCACGCAUAAAUAUAUAAUAAUGUAUGUAGAAACUUUGCAUGGGGAGGGAAUUAAUCCCCAACCUCAGUCCAUCAUAAACAGCUCUUAUCUACUUUACGUGAGAAUUCCAUCAUAUUUAUUGUGUAUCAAAUCCAUAAUAAAUCAAGAAAUUUCCCUAAUUCCAAUUAUAUAUUAUUCCUAUAUGCUUUGUCGGCUAUUUGUUUCCAAAUCUAUGUUUACAUGAUUCUUAAUCUUAUGGGAAUUUCAAGAACAGGGAAAAGUCAAGAACAGGGAAAAGGAUA